AUUGAACGCUGGCGGAAUGCUUUACACAUGCAAGUCAAACGGCAGCACGGACUUCGGUCUGGUGGCGAGUGGCGAACGGGUGAGUAACAUAUCGGAACGUAUCCAAUAAUGGGGGAUAACGAGUAGAAAGAUUCGCUAAUACCGCAUACGCCCUACGGGGGAAAGCUGGGGACCUUCGGGCCCGGCGUUAAUGGAGCCGCCGAUAUCUGAUGAGCUAGUUGGUGAGGUAAAGGCUCACCAAGGCGACGAUACGUAGCUGGUCUGAGGGGACGACCAGCCACACUGGAACUGAGACACGGUCCAGACUCCUACGGGAGGCAGCAGUGGGGAAUUUUGGACAAUGGGCGCAAGCCUGGUCCAGCCAUUCCGCGUGAGUGAAGAAGGCCUUCGGGUUGUAAAGCUCUUUCGCAAGGGAAGAAAACUUAGCCACUACCAUUGGUUGAGGUUGACGGUACCUUGAUAAGAAGCACCGGCUAACUACGUGCCAGCAGCCGCAGUAA
rnacentral:rRNA from 1 species